rnacentral:lncRNA from 1 species
GGACAAAUAAAACAAAAAAAAUGUAUAUAACACAAAAAUGUGCAUAGACAAAAGACUAGACUGAAGCAGGUCAGCAUUUCAAUAGUGUUUAUUUCUGUAUGCUAGGAGUGAGGGUCAUUUUAUUCUUUUCAUCAGAAAAAGUGUUGUUUAUUAAAAAGAUAACACAUAAGAUCCUCCCUCUACUUCAAAUUUCCCCCCAGUAAAGGCUUAGUGGGUGACUGUCACCUGAGCAUAGGCACGUUAUGAAAGUCCAUUAUUAUAAAGGCUUGUGUGAAUUAGGCAGAGAGAUUUACUUUGAUCUCUUUGAAUUACUAUAUAUGCCUAGAAAACAUUCUAAAAUAAGGGAGCAUUGCAGACCAAAAUAGUCCUGUUUUUGUUGAUAGUGGUGAGAUUAAGCAAUCAGACAUUUCCCUGACAUCUAUUUCCUUGAUGAACAAAUACUGAAAAAGAAGGGACAAGCGCAUUUAAACACACACACAUUCCCUUUACCUGGUGGAAAAGCAAUUGUGUUUGCGGAGGCCUCUCAAGUCAUUGCUCAAUGACUCUCUUGCAGGUUAUAAAUGUCAACCAAUUUGAAGGGAUGGUAAAGAGGAAAGAAAACUGGAACAAAUUUCAGAGAAAAGGCAGAGCUGAUGAGAACACAAUUCUUAUCAAGGGAGUUUUCAAAUAUCAAGUUUCCGUCACAUUGAGAGGGAUAGCUGUGACUCUGUGGGAGGGUCCAUCUCAGAUGGCAUUUCCCGUGUCACACCUUUCAUCUGAGCAUCUUAGGAUAUUUUAUAAACACAAGACCUCAAUAACAUCUGCAUUAUUUUCUUUGUUUUAUAAAUGGACUAAUCAGUCAUCAAAGAGCUUGUAAAGUUGACAGAGGUCACCUACGAGGACAUUAAUUCCACAUCAACACCUCUCCCCAUGAUGGCCCUCAAUUCAGAUGUGAGAACUACACAGCUUCUACUCUAGCACAUUCUGUAACAUUAAACCCAUGUCCUUAACUUUUUAAAAAUAAUUUUUUAAGGAGACAUCUCUAGGAAAAAAUGCACAGGUGCAGAUAAAUAUCAUCUAUCUAUAGACGUGGACACGAAGAUAUAAAUAGAAAGGGUUCAUUAGCUGUAAAGUAGCAGUAAACUGAUAACAGGCAGAGAAGCUGGAGCCUGGCUCCUGACAAUGAUGUCUGCCUUUGUUUACAUAGCUAAGAACAGAGUGGGGAAGUCUGCAGGCAAUAAACAGAAAGGGAGAAUGUUUAGGGUUUCUUUUGCUAACUCCUUUGUCAAUUGUGAUCUUUCUGACGUCUCUUAACCACUCUUCAGAGGUUCCCAAACUUUCUUGGCUCGUGGUUCCCUGAGGUCUCAGCAAAUUUGUCGCCGUGCCCCUAGGGUAAAUCUAAUAGUUUCGUUUAUUAAGUACUAGUGAGGUCCGAACAACUUAAUAAUAGUAGUUGGCGUGAUGUCCGAGAGAUGGCGCUGUGCUGUCCCUCGACCAUGUAAACCGUCCUGCGGGGCUCCUACGAGCUCGCUGCAAGGGGCGCCCAGGGCACCUGGGUUCCUUUGAGGACCAGGGCUCCAGAUCAUCCGUGAACAAGGUGAAGUGAGCUGCAGAACUGGCCUUGAAGGAAUUCGAAAACAGGCGAAAGGGACUCCAUGAAGGUAUCUUUCUGUCAUUAAAGGAACUCCAGAAAGUUACCUGGUUCUAAUAAAAAUGCCUACUGCUGCCCUUUAACCCUAAUGACUAUUGGGCUCACCCUAGGAAAGAGGGGAACAGCUGGUCACUCCUACGUGGAACAUACAGGACACUUAUUGCUCUCUCAGGUUUAGCUAUCUCCUCUUCAGACAAAAACCUCCAAAAUUACAAACCUCUAAGUGGGUUUGUUCUACUCAACAUUUUACUUUUUCGUUGUCUAUGACUCAUUCUCCAACCCACAUAACCUUAAAGAUAACUAUACAAAUAAAAUUAGUCUCUAUCUGAGUCACAUCAAAAGAAAUAAACAGAUUUCCUUUGUAAAUACUGAAAUUUUGGACCAGCCAGAUUUAAAAUAUAAGCAUAAAUGAAAUUUGUUUUCUGAGACCCUGAAACGACACCCGGAAGAACUCGGCAGCCCUCCGACCUGACCAUGAGCUUUGAUGACAAAUCUGUGUGCUUGCCAAGUAGAGGAGAGCUGCUGGAUGCCUCGAGAUGCCCCGGACAGAGGAAAUGGUGGCUCUAAAGGAAUCUGCAGAUGAGAAGUCACACGAGGAGGAUGCAUUAAAUUGCAGGCUGAUCGGCUGUAGAACGUCUCUCACAAGGGCAUCUCCAUGAAGCAUGUAUCCUGGAGACGAGCAGCAAGGAUUUUUUUUUUUUUCUUUAACCAGCAGUUAGUGAUUCUCCUAAGCCACACCAAGAAUGCCAGAGGCUCUAAUCAGGCUCUGGUGAGAACGAAACCCUGUUCACAGUUAAUACCAUUCCUCUUUUUAAGAACUAUGGAGUGCCUGCUAAGUGCCAGGCACUGUCUACGUUUAGUGGAAGAUCAAGGCCCGAGGGAGGGGGAGCAGGGGAGGACGACUCUUGGCCUCUCAGAGCUGGGCCUGGUGGCUAAGAACAACAGGAGGUUCCAUUUUAUAACUCGGAGGAAACAGAGGAGGUGUCCUGGCGAUUCACUUUCCUCUCUGACCUCAAUUUACUCUUUUUAAAUGAGAGGGUUGGACUGUGUGAUCUCUAAGCCCCGCUGUUCUGAUUCUAGCACCAUGUGAAGUUCACUUCAAAGUCAGCGAAAGUCGCAGCAACAUAAAUAGACCUCAGGAUAUAAACACUGUGUUAUCCAAAGGGAAAACGAAGAUGACAGACUACAUGUUUUAAAAUAAACUCACUGUGGUUUUUAAUUCUCAAUUCCAUCCUUGAGUUUUAUGAGUAUUGAUUUCCUAAGAAAAGAAAGCCUACAACUGCUACCUUCCUUAAGUACCUUUCUAGUCAUUUUAAAUAACGUCAUUAACAAUUUUCAGGCCUAAUAUAUAUAGCUUUCCAUUUAAAUAUCCUUCCUACCCUCACCAAAAGGACCUUUCUUAUGUAACAAAAACGAAAGUUUUAAUUUUGGACACAAAAAAAUACAGGCUUGACAUUUACUGAGCAUUUAUAAAAAAACAAUACUUUGUGCCUUGCCUAAAAAAAUUCCUGUUAUGUACUUCAAACAUUGACAGGAAGUGUCAUUGACAACACAGUGGGAUGGGCAAACUGAGAGACAGAGACCCAAGACAUUUGCAGUUUACUUAAGGUCACACAGUUAUUUUAUGUAUCUGCCUCAUUUUCAUCUUAUUUCAUUUAUCCUUCACAGUAGUCUUAGAGAGUAAUUUCCCGACCUACAGAUAAGGAUAUUGAGUUUCAGAAAUAGUAUGUUCUUACAACAAUAACAGAUUCAAAACUAGGUUGACCUAUCUCAAAAACUCUUGCAAUUUUUCCCUAUACCUUGUGGAGUUCUAGCACAUAAUCCCUACUUUGCAAAUUGUACAUUCUCACAUAGGUCAAAUGGAAAGGAUCCCUUCACCCUCAAACCUUUUUCUUCAGAGAAUGAGAAGGAGGCCGUUCUAGAGGAGAGACAAGGGGAGAAGUGAGGUUAAAGAACUGCCCUCUAUUACUCUAAGAUAUUUCCAGACUUAUUUUUCCCUAACCCUGUCCAGACUUAUAUUGUACCCAAAUUAGACUACCACAGUUCCUGGUUUAUACCCUCAGUAUAUGACACCUCAGUCUGUGAUAAAAUAUAAAAAGAAAAUAAAUGUAUUAUUUCUCACUGUUAAACAUGAAACUGUAGUCGGUCCAUGGCUUUUAUACUCACUCUUACAUAAUGUUUGGCAUCAAAAGUUCCAGUCUAGUCUAAUAAUUGUAAAGUUAGAGUCCACUCCAGUAAAGAAAUAAAAUAUCUAGACUCUUAUUCAGUGUCAGACUUUCCCCAUUCCUAGAAUGGAGGCCCGGGGGGAGGAGGGGAAGGGAGCAGGGCUGGUUCUUAAGCAUUUCCUCUUCUGCCUCCUCUCCCACUGUGAGCUCUCUCUGAAGUCAGCCUAGGAAGAGAGGAACUAGAAGAAAGGGGCCAGGCUGCAUAGCUGGUAUAAGGUUAUCUGGCCUCAGUGCCCGCUGGACUAAAGAAGCAUUGCCGACUCUUUCUCUUUUGAACACUUUUGUUGAUUCUUCGGAGUCUCACUCAAGAUCACCAACAAAGCCCCCUGCCCUUGGCAAUGCCCUCCUCUGGGUACCUCUGUUCUGAGCGUCCAUCCAGCAACUCACCAUUUCUUCAUGUAUCAUAACCCACUGGGGCUAUCUUUUUGGAAGAGAUUUCCCUUUAAGAUGACCCAGGUCAACUCACCUUUGAAAGGAGUGUCAUUUUGUCCACAUGACCCAAUUUGAGCGGAAGGGCCUACUACCCCAGUGGAUUCUCUUUUUACCUCUUCACUUUGGAUUUCUCAGACUUAAGUCAAAUGCCAUUGUCUAUCUCCCUCAAUCUCCGGGACACAGAUAUCAAAUAUCAAAAUCUCCUCAGUCUUCGCUCAUUGGCUUGAGGUAAAAGUAAAGCCUCCUCUGUUCCUGUGAGGAGGGAGCAGGGAAUAUCACACAAAGCUCACACAAAGAAACCUCUACUCUCCAACCAUUUUUUCUUAUACCAGCUGGGGUACAUGAUCAAGCUGGCAGACCAUCCUGUUAUCCCUUCACAUGUCAGCACUUCAUCUUAGAAUCUUGGGCAUUGGGUAGGGGGAGGGAAUUGUUCUAGAAUCUUUUAUAUUGUUCUUUGUCUUUGGGUUCCAUUUUAACAACCUGUUACGCAGAUAAUGGGUUUAAGGAGUAGCUGAACUGUGAGAGUGGAAGUCAUCAGGAACCAAGGAAGCUCUUCUCUGUCUUUCCCUCUCUAGAGUCAAACAACUCCUCAACCUGCUCCUCUUUGCUCAUAAUCUACUUUGUUCUCCUCCCUUUCACCAAACUGUCUUUCUUUGUUUCUCUAUGCACAUACAACGACGGCCACACCUCCACUUCCUAUAUUACAUGUUUGCUCCCACAGACCAGCAGAUACUAACUAGUUUGAAUCCCACUUUAAAAUUCUUAGAGAAGAAAGACAAUGGGCCUAGUUUGGACCAGGUGUCUAUCCUUGAUACAAUCACCUUUGUCCAACAAACAGGCUGUCAGAACCCAUCCCUGAGGGCAGGGAAAUUCUCAAAGAAAGGAGGUAAUAGUCCGGACAGGCAUUCCCUAACAGCAUCAGAAACACAUGUAGUGCCGGGCACAAGGCUUCACAUAACUAAAUACUUAGCAUGUUUUUCUUUCCUUUCAAGACAUUUAUUCUCUUCUGAGUAGUUAAAUAUACUGGACAUUGUGGUUAGCUCUCCAGCAUUACUCUCCCUUUCCUUAGUCAAAAGUCAAAUCUUCAUUCAGAUAUCUUCGCUUCCCCUGGGCAUCUCACACUAGCACUGGGACAAGUGGCUGAAGCCCAAACUAAUGAACAUAUUCCCUCCCCUGGUCACAGUUAUUCAUUCCAGGAUGACUGAUCUCAGGCUGAUAAGAUCAAAGGAGAGUUUUUCUGGUGGUUUCUAAAGAAAAAGUAUUCUCCCUCUUCUGAGAACACUCUUGGAAAUGAUCCCCUCUUCCACCAUAGAUGCGCAUGGAGAAGCAUACUGCCAUGGGAAGUGACACACGCAUCUUGUGACUACAAAGUAGAACCAGGCUUAAGAAGAAGCUGAACUUGCUAGAGACAGAGAGGCGAUAAAAGGAAACUGAAUCCUUGAAGACAUGACUGAGCAGCUGAGGCAAACCAACCCUGAAGCCAACUUAUAUGUCAACUGUUAAAUGAGCCAAUAAAUCCUCUCCGUCAUUUUAACCAGCUUGGAUUGGAUUCCAGAAAGGCCUAAUUUGUAUAGUCACCCAAAAUUAUAACAUGUCAGGACAAACUGUCAGUAAGUAUGUUUGCAAAAGAUUCUGAUGUUCCCUGAGGGGAAGUUGUAAAUGGAUUCUAGAAAAAAAAGGAAUCAAGAAUUAAAUCUCUCCAAAAAGAAGAGGCUAAAAGCAAUCUUAAAACCUCUCAUGGAAGAUACCAGAUAUGUAAAAAACUCAGAGAAAGGAGUAGGAAGAUGUUUGAACUGAAUCAUAGGAAACCGGCUGAUUUUGUAGAAAAGGCAAUAUAUCCAGGUGACCCCAUGGGAUGCCAUAUGGAUGGUCCCAACUCUGCCGGUGGAGGAUAUUGUUCUAAAUAUCUCAAGAAAUUAAAGAAGAUAUCAAGAAGUGUGUUACAGCUGGUGCUACAAAUAGGACCUGAGAAAAUAAGAGAGGCUACUCUCCAUGAAAACCACAUGAAUAAUAAUGCUGCCGGGGGAAGUGGACUGUCACUGUAAAGUAGGCCUGUCUAGAGGAGCCUCUGCACACCAGGACCCAGGACCAAGAGGAGAUGCGGAGAUCUUACCAAGGAAGAGAAGGGCUUUGUCAUCUGAGUUCUAACAGUACCAUGGGAUAGAGAGAGGGAAGAGAAGUAGCUUAGAACAGAAUGCUCCUUUUUUUAACCAUUGUUUGUUGUUACCUAUUUCUUCUCAAUUAUUUUUAAUGCAUGGGUAGAAAAUCUUGUAUUAUAUUUGUGUAGUGAAAUAAUAUUUCGAAAUACAUUACUAUGCUUUUCUUUUUGUCACUUCCUUGUAUAUAUUUUUUAACCUCACCUCUCUUCAACUGGAGCUAUUCAUUACCUCUGAGAGGAUUAAGACUGCUAUAAUUAGAAAAAGUCAGAGUUUGGCUUUUGGCUUCCAAAAUUAGGUUCAUCAAAUCAGUUUCAGCGAGGAUAGUCUUGAAUUUAGUUUUCAAUUUCAAGAGGCAGGCAAGAGAUUGAGAUAAAGAAGGUUUUGUUUUGUUUUCAUUUUUAAUUCCAUAGUGUUUCCUUUAAAUGUCAAGAAACGAAGCCUGGAAGGUUGAUAAAAGAGUUUUUAAUAAAAACCUUUAAAUAUGAAGGAUACAGGAGAAAACAGGAGGGCAGUGUUCUAGCCCAAAGAAAGGAAACAAAAGAAAUUUCUGCUACACAGCAGAAAUUUAUUUCUCACAGUUCUGAGGCCAGAAAGUCCGAGAUCAAGGUGCCAGAUGAUUGAGUUCCUGGUGAAGACUCUCCUUCUAGCUUGCAGAUUUUCUCCUUCUCUCUGUGCCCUCACCUGGCAGCGACAGCGAGCAAGCCUACAGAUACAGCCACACUGCGUGUCAGGGUUUCAACUUAUGAAUUUGAGGGGGGACCUGAUUCAGUCCAAAGCGUGUGGAAAGGAUCCCAAAGGUGAGCAGAGCAGGUAAGUGAAUCAUAGGUAAGUUUCCAGAGAGGCUCCUGCCCUGCCUCCUCCCCAGGUAGAGAGGAGGGUGGGUUAUACAAUAAACUAGAUGGCAGAAAACUCUCAAAUAGCUCAAUUCUAUCCACGGAAGGAACUUUCACUUGUUUGGGGCCUGGAAUUCUAAUUGGAGGCAGCCUCAAAGAGCGUUCCAUGCCAAACUGACAUGUGUGCCAUGAAGUAGAAGGCAAUGGGGCAUAUUUAGACCAAGAAGACCUGUGAUAGCACCCAGUGUGCAGCCCCUUCAUCUCCCUCCUCAGAAAUUUCCACAUGCUCAAGCUGGAGUUGCUGCAGCCCUUAGCAGAGGGCUGUAAGGAGGUGUCCUCUAAACUAGACAUUGAAUGGGCAUCACAGAAAAUCUCACUGGAUCUGAAACACUAGCAAGAGCGGUGGUGGGCUCUAGUCAACAAUGGAAGUUGGUCUCCUUCCUCCAGACAUAGUGGCUGCUAUACUGUUGGUUGGCAUUCUGCUAUUCCUAUAUACAAUGCUAUAUUUAAGUAAGAAAAUACAAUAUUUUUGUUGGCAUAGUUUUGUUAUUCUGGAAUUAUUUAAAUUGACCCCUCCUUCUAUGAAAGCAGAACUGCUUACAGAAGUUGCCCUCCUACUGCAAACAAAUAGAAAACUGGACAAAAUAAAGGAAACAACUGGUUAUACAUUGACUAACUAUAGUCUCUGAGAGAAGGGAACUAAUCAAGAUGAACUCUAUGAUUGCCCCAACAAUUUCUGGACUGCAGCACAAGGAAAGCAAACCCAAACAGACGCUGGCAGUUACAAUGAGUUGAGAAGGCAGAAGUCAGAAAUGAGGGAGGCUGAGGCAGCUAGAAUUUUCAGGGAAGAUUACCAGAGAGGAGGGAACUAUGCAGAGAAUGAGCUCCGGAAAUCUGCCUAGCAGUCUUUGGUGGAAUACUAGUCUUUGGUGGGUAAGAGAAAUUCAAUAUGGCCAGAAAAAAAGAACUGCUGGGAGAAAAUAGUUACUAGGGAGCUGUAAACUGAACUAUCCCCAGAACUCAAGUAAACCUGGAAAUCAUUUGAGUCACAUCAGUCAAAGUGGAGAAACGUUGUGAAUACACAUGCAUUUCAUUAGGGAAACCAAAAAGUUCAGGGUUAGUAGGGGGAUUAAAGGCUUCUAUAGACCCAUAUGAAAAACUGAAAGGCAAGCCUUUAAAAAAAUCAAACUGAUCUGCAAGUAGCUUACCAUGCCAGACCAAUAUCCAACUCUUUAAGGGAAUACCAUAAAAUCCAGCACUCAAUGUUCAGCAUCUAAUAAGAAAAUUACUGGUCAGGUGAAGAAGCAGGGAAAUAUGCCCUGUAACCAAGAGACAAAUCAGUUAACAGAAACAGUCCCCAAGAUGACACAUGUGAUGGAAUUAGCAGAAAAGGACUUUAAAGUAACUGUUAUAAAUAUGUUCAAAGAUUCAAAGAAAAACAGAAAAACAAUGCAGAGAGAAAUGGAAGUUAUUAAAAAAAAAACAAAUUGAAUUUCUAGAGAUGAAAAUAUAAUAUUGGAAUUGAAAAUUUCAUUGAAUUACAUUAAAAGCAGAUUAGAUACUACAGAAAAAAAUCCAUCAACAUGAAGAUGUAGAAAUAUCCGAAAGGAAGCAUAGAGAGGGAGAAAGAAAGAACAGAACCUCAGUGAGCUGAGGAAAAAUAUUAAAAGUUUAACAUACAUGUAGUCGAUGUCAGGUAAGGAAAGGAGGGGUCGGAGGAUAGAAAUAAUAUCUGGAGAAAUAACGACUAAAAAAUUUCCAAAUUUCCAAAUUUGAUGAUAGUAUAAACCCACAGAUUCAAGAAUCUCAUCCAAGAAGCUCAAACCACACCAAGGCAAAUCGUAGUCAAAUUGCUGAAAACCAGUAUUAAAGAGAAAGUCUUAAAAGCAGCCAGUGUUGAGGAGUAGGGAAUGGAAUUGGUAUCAUUUAUAUCUUGAGAUGUGCCCCUUUAAAAUUUUGCAAUAAGCAAUGGUGCCCUCGUUUAGAAAUUGUUCUUUUAUACCACCGCAAUCCUCAGUAUGGAGUUAACACUGCACGUUACCCUGGUUAAUCAAAAGUCAAAAAACCUUUUUCAGUAUCUGUAACAAUUUACACAAAAGCAGUCUUGCCACUUAACUAUACCAGUAUUCAAGGGCUUUAUUUUCCUUAAUUGUAACUAGAAAUUGAAUAAUAUUAUUUCUUAUGAUUAAUUAAACUUUUAGCAUUUUAUGAGUCUUUGAUUUAAUAUUUUUAUUCUUCUUACGUUUUUAUCUGUUAUUUUAUGGUAGAGUGACAAAAUGUUUGACAUUUAUAUUUUUAUAAAUUUAUUUUUAAAUUUAUUUGUAAUGUUUUUGUAUAUUUUGUAUUUAAAUUUAUUAAGCAGUU